AUGUCCUUAAACACGGCUGUCCUCCCUGUGCCAGGUCUGUGCCAAGCACAUCACAUGCCUGCUUCCCACAGCCACUUUCCUGCGGUCCAAGGUCGCAGACCGAGGUGGGGCUCCAACUCCAGCGACCACGCCCGCGCACGAGGAGCAGCGCCCCCUAGGGAGCCGAGGGAUGGCCGCGGGAGGCCCCAGGGCCGGCAGUCGGCGCCGGGUGUCAGCAGCCAGGGCACCCGCUGCCGGCUUGCGAGCCGAGGACAGGACCCUCCUUCAUCUCUGGAUGCACUCCUGUGGGCUGACCACCUGAGGAGGAACCCAGGCUCUGGGACUCAAUGAAGAAAAGGUCAAAUUUCUGAAGAGGAAGAGGAACUAUGAGCCACAUGGAUCAAGCCAGUGGGGUUUGAACACAGCCCAGAGCAUUUCCCUUGGCUGCAUCAUGGCAGGCAGGGGACAGGAGAGGUGGGAGUAUACUGCACCCUCUGGUCAGGUGGGGGGGAUGGAGCCCCUCCCUGUUUCCUGCCUUCAGGAGGGCUUUAAAUGGGCAUGAAACCACGCCCCACCCCGCUCCAAAUUGUGUUGUCACUUGGAGCCUAAUGUUUGAUGGCAUUUGGGGUACCCCAGAACUCUGCUUGCCAUGAGGUGAUGGCUGUUAUUUAUGCCUAGGCCCUGCUCUGAUCUCAGGGAAAAUAUCUCAUCAUAAAUUGGCAUGCCAUGGCAAACAAUUAAAAGAGAAAAAUAAACCCCAGUGCAAUCUCA
rnacentral:lncRNA from 1 species